rnacentral:rRNA from 1 species
UACGAAGGGUGCAAGCGUUAAUCGGAAUUACUGGGCGUAAAGGGUGCGUAGGCGGUUGUUUAAGUCUGUCGUGAAAUCCCCGGGCUCAACCUGGGAAUGGCGAUGGAUACUGGACAACUAGAGUGUGUCAGAGGAUGGUGGAAUUCCCGGUGUAGCGGUGAAAUGCGUAGAGAUCGGGAGGAACAUCAGUGGCGAAGGCGGCCAUCUGGGACAACACUGACGCUGAAGCACGAAAGCGUGGGGAGCAAACAGG